AUUGAACGCUGGCGGCAUGCUUUACACAUGCAAGUCGAACGGUAACAGGCCGCAAGGUGCUGACGAGUGGCGAACGGGUGAGUAAUGCAUCGGAACGUGCCCAGUCGUGGGGAUAACGCAGCGAAGCUGCGCUAAUACCGCAUACGAUCUAUGGAUGAAAGCGGGGGACCGUAAGGCCUCGCGCGAUUGGAGCGGCCGAUGUCAGAUUAGGUAGUUGGUGGGGUAAAGGCUCACCAAGCCAACGAUCUGUAGCUGGUCUGAGAGGACGACCAGCCACACUGGGACUGAGACACGGCCCAGACUCCUACGGGAGGCAGCAGUGGGGAA
rnacentral:rRNA from 1 species